rnacentral:rRNA from 1 species
UACGGAGGGUGCGAGCGUUGUCCGGAAUCAUUGGGCGUAAAGGGCGCGUAGGUGGCCCGGUCAGUCAGUGGUGAAGGCGCGGGGCUCAACUCCGCGUCGGCCAUUGAUACUGCUGGGCUGGAGCACUGUAGAGGCAGGCGGAAUUCCGGGUGUAGCGGUGGAAUGCGUAGAGAUCCGGAAGAACACCGGUGGCGAAGGCGGCCUGCUGGGCAGUGGCUGACACUGAGGCGCGACAGCGUGGGGAGCAAACAGG